AAACAUGACUUUGAUCUGCGUCCUCAUCUGGACUCUCCUCUGCUGCUGCUUCACAGAGUCCAGAGGACAGAUCACAGUGACUCAGCCUGGAGCAGUGAGCUCUGCUGUGGGAGGAUCUGUGACCAUCAAGUGUAGGACCAGUCAGGAUGUUUAUGACUCUAAGCGUUUAGCCUGGUACCAACAGGCAGAUGGAGACCCCCCCAAACGUCUCAUUUACUUUGCUAGCACUCGAGAUUCAGGGAUUCCAGCUCGUUUUACAGGCAGUGGAUCAAACUCUGACUUCACUCUGACCAUCAGUGGAGUCCAGGCUGAAGAUGCAGCAGUUUAUUACUGUCAGAGUCAGCACUAUCCUAAUAGUCAGUGGGUGUUCACACAGUGAAAAACAGUUGUACAAAAACCUCCCUCAGUCAGACUGAACAGAAAGUGAAGUGACUGCUGCAGCGGGAAGAUACUGCAGAGACUGAUACAGUUCACUGAGAACACACACAGACAC